GACGAACGCUGGCGGCGUGCCUAAUACAUGCAAGUCGAACGAGAGCAACCGGUGCUUGCACUGGUCAAUCUAGUGGCGAACGGGUGAGUAACACGUGGGUAACCUGCCCAUCAGAGGGGGAUAACAUCCGGAAACGGAUGCUAAAACCGCAUAGGUCUUCGAACCGCAUGGUUUGAAGAGGAAAGGAGGCGCAAGCUUCUGCUGAUGGAUGGACCCGCGGUGCAUUAGCUAGUUGGUGAGGUAACGGCUCACCAAGGCCGUGACGCAUAGCCGACCUGAGAGGGUGAUCGGCCACAUUGGGACUGAGACACGGCCCAAACUCCUACGGGAGGCAGCAGUAGGGAAUCUUCCGCAAUGGACGCAAGUCUGACGGAGCAACGCCGCGUGAGUGAAGAAGGUUUUCGGAUCGUAAAACUCUGUUGUUAGAGAAGAACAAGUGCUAGAGUAACUGUUAGCGCCUUGACGGUAUCUAACCAGAAAGCCACGGCUAACUACGUG
rnacentral:rRNA from 1 species